CACGUAGGGGGCAAGCGUUGUCCGGAUUUAUUGGGCGUAAAGAGCUCGUAGGCGGCUCAGUAAGUCAGGUGUGAAACCUCCAGGCUCAACCUGGAGACGCCACCUGAUACUGCUGUGGCUAGAGUCCGGUAGGGGAGCGUGGAAUUCCUGGUGUAGCGGUGAAAUGCGCAGAUAUCAGGAGGAACACCAGCGGCGAAGGCGGCGCUCUGGGCCUUACCUGACGCUGAGGAGCGAAAGCGUGGGUAGCGAACAGG
rnacentral:rRNA from 1 species